rfam:TPA: Bos taurus chromosome 4, whole genome shotgun sequence.
UCCCUCAUAGCUGAGUUGGUAAGGAAUCUGCCUGCAAUGCAGGAGACCCAGGUUCUAUCCCUGGGUGUGGAA